rnacentral:lncRNA from 1 species
GAAGUCGCGCGGUAUAUGAAGCAUAUGCAAAGUAAAGUGGCGUUGUAAAGAAUUAUGAUAUUGAAGAGUUGUUGUUACAAGCAAUGUUCAGUACAAAAUGCAAAAACACAAACAAGCCACUUCUCAGCGCUCAUCAGAGUCAUCACUGGAGGAAGGCGAAGCCCCUUUCCCAGCCCGCAGCGCUCGAGUAAGUUGUGUCCUCUUUUCUUGGCCUAUUUUCGAACCUGCACAAAGGGAAAAGAUGUGUUAGAGACACCAUGAAGGAAGACAG